rnacentral:rRNA from 1 species
GACGAGUGGCGCACGGGUGCGUAACGCGUUUGCAAUCUACCUUUAACCGGUGAAUAGCCCGAAGAAAUUCGGAUUAAUACACCAUAGUAUAGUUGAAUGGCAUCAUUCGACUAUUAAAACUCCGGUGGUUAGAGAUGAGCAUGCGUGACAUUAGCUAGUUGGUGAGGUAAUGGCUCACCAAGGCUACGAUGUCUAGGGGAUCUGAGAGGAUUAACCCCCACACUGGUACUGAGACACGGACCAGACUCC